rnacentral:rRNA from 1 species
CGCUCGACAUCAGAGUUUGAUCCUGGCUCAGGACGAACGCUGGCGGCGCGCCUAACACAUGCAAGUCGAGCGGAGAUAUGAGAGGAGUAAUCCGAACAUAUUUUAGCGGCGGACGGGUGAGUAACGCGUGAGUGACCUGCCUCUUACAGGGGGAUAACGUACCGAAAGGUACACUAAUACCGCAUAAGACCACAUGGCCGCAUGGCCGAGGGGUCAAAGGAGCAAUCCGGUAAGAGAUGGGCUCGCGUCCGAUUAGAUAGUUGGUGAGGUAACGGCCCACCAAGUCUGCGAUCGGUAGCCGACCUGAGAGGGUGAACGGCCACAUUGGAACUGAGAGACGGUCCAA